CUGGAGAAGGAAAUGGCAACCCACUCUAGUAUUCUUGUCUGAGAAGUCCCAUGGACAGAGGGGCCUGGCAGGCUACAAUCUAUGGGGUCCCAAAGAGUCAGAUAUAACUUAGCAACUAAACCACCUCAAAUAAAUGGUAGCAAGAUCUCAUGUCCACACACAAAAAAAGAGUAGAAGCAACACUGUAACACAUUCAAUAAAGGCUGGCUUUUUUUUUCUUUUAAGAGAAAAUUUGGAGACAAAGACACACACAUGGAGAAUAGCACGUAAAGGGUGAAGGGUGAGACUGGGGUGAGGUAUCUACAAGCUGAAGAAUGCCAAGGGUUGCUGGCAACCAUCAGAAGUGAGGAGAAAGGCAUGCAUGGAAUAGAUUCUUUCUCCCAGCCCCCAGAAACCUUUCUGACACUUUGAUUACGGACGUCUAGCCUCCAGAACAGUGAGGCAGUACACUUCCUGUUGUUUUAGGCACCCAGUUUGUGGCACUUUGUAUGGCAGCCCCAGCAAACUAAUACACUGACGGGGAGGAAGAAGAGGAUGCUGCGUCAGCCCUUCCAGAUAUUUAAAACGAUUUUCAGUCAAAGAGACAGCAUCAUUAUCAUCGGUAACAGAUACCUAAUGCUAUCCCUCAUCCUCAAGCAGCCCAGCACAGAGCUCCAAGGAGUGAUUUUGAAUAUUCUGGUUUGGUUCAGAGAAAAGGAAGGCGUGAGAUCAAGCAUCGUGAACUUCUGAAGUCAAAGGUGAACAAAAUGACUGUCAAUUAGAUGUGUACUUUUUCUGUAGCCAACCUUCUAUGCCUUGACAUGUUGUAAGAGUUGUGUGUGCAUUUUAAUAUGUGAUAGAUACACUUGAAAGUUUGUAGCAACCCCUUAUAUAAUAAAAGUGAUACAUAUAUUUUUGUAGGGCUUGGAAAAUAAUUUUACUCCUUUGAGUAACUGUGGAGAUUUACAGUUACUAUGGCAUUGACUUAUGGUAUAUGCUUGGCUGUAUCUAUGAUUCAUUUGUUCAGGAACCUCCAAUUGUAACAUUAUUCCUUUUGAAAGCUUUUCUACUUCCCCUUAACACUCUGGAGUUCAUCUUUCUUUUUCCACUUUGCUUCUACAGCUUGUGUUGUUAAUUUUCUAUUUGAACAAAAACAUCCACCACAAUAAAAGUUUUUACUGUGGUGGGGGUGGGAGCAUUGCAUGAGGAGCGCAGGCUUAUUUUUUAAAUCUUGGAAAACACAGCAGAAUAUGAAAAAGAAAAUAAAACCUCCCAGAGUCAAAACA